rnacentral:rRNA from 1 species
AGCGAACGCUGGCGGCGUGCUUAACACAUGCAAGUCGAGCGAGAAAGUCCCGCAAGGGAUGAGUACAGCGGCGAACGGGUGCGUAACACGUGGGCAAUCUAUCCUUGAGGUGGGGAUAACCCAGCGAAAGUUGGGCUAAUACCGGAUAAGACCACAAGAGGAAACUCUAGAGGUCAAAGGGCGCUUUUCUUUUUGGGAGCGCUCGCUUAGGGAGGAGCCCGCGGCCUAUCAGCUUGUUGGUAGGGUAACGGCCUACCAAGGCGAAGACGGGUAGCUGGUCUGAGAGGAUGACCAGCCACAC